GACGAACGCUGGCGGCGUGCCUAAUACAUGCAAGUAGAACGCUGAAGGAGGAGCUUGCUCUUCUGGAUGAGUUGCGAACGGGUGAGUAACGCGUAGGUAACCUGCCUGGUAGCGGGGGAUAACUAUUGGAAACGAUAGCUAAUACCGCAUAACAGUAGAUGUUGCAUGACAUUUGCUUAAAAGGUGCAAUUGCACCACUACCAGAUGGACCUGCGUUGUAUUAGCUAGUUGGUGGGGUAACGGCUCACCAAGGCGACGAUACAUAGCCGACCUGAGAGGGUGAUCGGCCACACUGGGACUGAGACACGGCCCAGACGCCUACGGGAGGCAGCAGUAGGGAAUCUUCGGCAAUGGACGGAAGUCUGACCGAGCAACGCCGCGUGAGUGAAGAAGGUUUUCGGAUCGUAAAGCUCUGUUGUAAGAGAAGAACGAGUGUGAGAGUGGAAAGUUCACACUGUGACGGUAUCUUACCAGAAAGGGGCGGCUAACUACGUG
rnacentral:rRNA from 1 species